UCGCCAACAAGGAAAAAAUGCGUUGUCCCAUACAAUCAAAUUAACAGUCACUUUUACCGAGUGAUGUGACAAAGUUGUAAUGAAGUGCGCGACAAAUUUGUAGCAAAAAGUCAAUAGUAAUAAAUAAUUUAACGUGCGAUAAUUUUGCGCAAAGUGGUCGAUACAACCAAAGAAUUUAUCAAUAACCUGACACUUAAGUCAACGUUCCUUGCCGAAAAUUAAACGAGCCCAUAGCAUCAACAAGUACAACAGUAGUAAAACUUCCAACGACAACUAAAUAUUUUGCUGAUAAAAAAAAUUGAAAAAUUAACAACAAAAAAAUAAGUGAUUUGGUGAUAUUUUGAAGAAGUGAAGCAGCAAAAAGGCUAAUCGUGUUUAUUUUAUUUUACUAGUGUUUUAAAGCGCAAAUCCAUACAUAACAACAACAAAUAUUCACCUUGAUUUAAAUAAAGGUCACAAAUUAAACUUAAUUCGCAGUUGGAGCAGAAAGCUGAAAUUUGCGCGACAAAUCGUGAGGGAUUGCAAAUUGUCAACGAAAUAAGUUGUUCCUCCAGCAUGUACCACGCGCGACAGCAGGCCCCAAGUGGCCAACUCUUGCGCUGCACGAAAAUGUCUAACAGCAGACGAUACAGCCGCCUCUGGUUCAACAGCUUUGCAAUAUUAAUUUGCCUGCUGUGUAGUGGCCUUGCGAGCACAAAUGCCGG